AUGGAUCUAAAACUUAAAAAUUAAGGGGACGAUCAUCAGGUUGGCAUAGAAUGUUGUUACGAAGUUGACAAGUUAUGAGUAAAUUCCAUUGUAAAACCUCAAUUUAGACGCACGCAAUACCAAUUGUGGUGGUCGUGAACCGAUCAGAAGCUGACCUUUUAACCAAGGAAAAGACCUCAGGUGAAAGAACACCAAUCUCAAAUUCAGGAACUUCAGGUAUAGUAGAAAGAACUGGUCCAGACUUAUCAUAAACCAUAUACAAACACUCUUUGGAGUAUUUUUCUUGCAUUUUGAAACUAUUGCUACUGCUAGUGCCAGUGAUACUGCUUGAAAGGUCGGAUUUCUUAUUGCCCGACUUGAAAACUGAACGAAUAAAAUUCUGAAAAGAACGAGAAAUCUUGUACGACUUCUUUGACAUAACCGAAGAAGAAUAAGAAGAAGAAGAAGACGAAGAUUUCUGAAGUACUGUGACUUGACGCUCCGGUAAAUGAGACAUGGAAAGUGUUCUAUUUAAAAUGUUUGAACUAGCUAUGGCUGAGUCAAGUUGGUUUUUGAAGGAGUUGAGUUCAAAGGAAUCAUAAAGUGUACUUCCACAAUCCCACACAGUAUUGUUACUGUAAUUUGACGACACUGAAAAUUUAUUUUCCUUUUCUUCUUGUGAGAGUUUCUGUUUCUCCAUAUAUAAUGUUGCUUUGUUUGAGUAGAAUACUAAGGGACUGUGUUUUCUGCAAUAAGUAGAAAAUACUAAAUAGAGAGAGUGACAUUUUUGAUGGAUGCUUUUUCUUAUGGUUGGUGAAGAAUCAAGCAGGUUAGUUAUGACUUCUGUACCAGAAAGGUUUUAUUAUCA
rnacentral:lncRNA from 1 species